rnacentral:ncRNA from 1 species
UCGAAUUGUUUGUUGACACGGACAAAGUAAGGGAAAACCUCUGAAAGAAUUUCCAUAUUGACCUUGGACAUAUAAGAGUUCCGAAUCAAAUCUCUUUAGAAAGAUGAUCUUUUGUCUCAUGGUAGCCUGCUCCAGUCCCCAAAUUCAGAGAAACCUUGGAAUUAAAAAGGGCAAUCCUGAGGCAAAUCCGUGCUUUGAGAAAACAAGGGGUUCUCGAACUAGAAUACAAAGGAAAAUGAUAGGCGCAGAGACUCAAUGGAAGUUGUUCUAACGAAUCGAGUUAAUUACGUUGUGUUUACCAAAAGUUCCUACAUUAAUGGGAAAUGCCCUACCUUUGAG